rnacentral:tRNA from 1 species
AAUAAAAUGGCUGAGUUUAAGCGAUAAAUUGUAAAUUUAUUUACGAGAUAGUUCUCUUUUAUUA